ACGCGAAGAACCUUACCUGGGCUCGAACGGCUUAAGAUCAACUUUGGAAACAGAGUCUUCUCGCAAGAGACUUGAGUCGAGGUGCUGCAUGGCUGUCGUCAGCUCGUGUCGUGAGAUGUUGGGUUAAGUCCCGCAACGAGCGCAACCCUUGUCCUGUGUUGCCACUCCCGCAAGGGAAGCACUCUCAGGAGACCGCCAGCGAUAAGUUGGAGGAAGGUGGGGAUGAUGUCAAGUCAUCAUGGCCUUUAUGUCCAGGGCUACACACGUGCUACAAUGGCCGGUACAAACCGCUGCAAACCCGCGAGGGGGAGCUAAUCGGAAAAAACCGGUCUCAGUUCGGAUCGCAGGCUGCAACUCGCCUGCGUGAAGCUGGAAUCGCUAGUAAUGGUAUAUCAGAACGAUACCGUGAAUACGUUCCCGGGUCUUGUACACACCG
rnacentral:rRNA from 1 species